UGGACCGUCGGCAAGUGGUAAGCCACCGCCUUUUGGUGGCGGUAUUUCGCAGGUUCGAGUCCUGCCGGUCCAA
rnacentral:tRNA from 1 species